AGGCACAUAGUGGGUGGGGGUUGCUCUGGGAAGGGCACAGAACAAGGACAGCUUGUUUCUCCUCACCCAGACGGUGAUCAUCGGCUCCUACCUGAUUGCACACGGUUUCUUCAGCGUCUAUGGCAUGUGUGUGGACACGCUGUUCCUCUGCUUCUUGGAGGACCUGGAGAGGAAUGAUGGCUCGGCCGAGAGGCCUUACUUCAUGUCUUCCACCCUCAAGAAACUCUUGAACAAGACCAACAAGAAGGUAGCGGAGUCCUGAAGGCCCCGUGCUCCCCACUUCUCGUGGAGCCUCAUGCCGCAGGGUGCUCAGUAGCAGGGUGUGUUCCCCCGACCCCUUGGGCUCACCCAAAGUCCUAUCACUGCCGCUCUGCCCAUCCCCAUGAGCCAGAUCCCACCAGUUUCUGGACAUGGAGAGUCUGGGGUAUCUCCUUCUUAUGCCAAGGGGCGCUUGGAGUUUUCACAGCUGCCCCUCAAGACUGCGAGAAAUGAGUUCAAAUCCAGUGGGGCCUCUUGAUGUCCGGGAUGUUGUCCGACCACCGCAAGCUCCCUCGUACUUCCGGUUCCCACUGACAUGACAACGGGCCAGACCACAAGGAUAGUGUUUGUGUCUGAGGGAGCUGCUGGCCACAGUGAACACCCACGUUUAUUCCUGCCUGCUCCAGCCAGGACUGACCCCCUUCUCCACACCUGAACAGUUGGCGUAAGAGCCACCAGAAGCAUUUCUUUAUUAUUUUUUAACCUGGACGUGCAUUAAAGGGUCUAUUAGCUUUUUUUUUUCCAUCUGUCUCAACAGCUGAGAUGGGGCCGCCAAGGAGUGCCUUUCUUUUGCUCCCUCCUAGCUGGGAGUGGCUGGGGUGGGAGUGUGUGUGCCCAGGUGGGGGUGUCUCCUGGCUGGGAAGGAGGGAGAGGGAGGGACAUUUUUACGGAGGUGGUUGGCAGUGGGGAGGAGGUGGUUGGCAGUGGGGAGCGGGCUGGAGAGGAGAUCACUAAUAGCUGUUUAAUGGAAACCUGCUGGGCUGGAUGGAGUUAGGCUGAAUUUCCCGACUUCCUCUGCCAGUUAUUGACACAGCUCUCUUUGUAAGAGAGGAAAGAAACAACCACCCAAGGGAUGAUUUCAGGGGGAAAGGUGGAGGGCAGAUGCCCGGGGCAAACCGGGCCCCUCUGCCCACGCACCUCACUUGAUGAUACUUUUGCCAAACUUGUUGAACUUGGGGGACCUGGCUUCCCAGUGGCCCCUUUGCCAUAUUCCAAAGCCCCCUCAGACUUAACAUCUCUGCUCAUCAGCACUGUCCCAGGAUCCUGGAGAGGGAGAACCCCGGCCCCAGGAGGAAGGGGGGCGGUCUCCCAUUUCCUGUACCUGCGCCAGCCCUGCCCCCACUGCGUCUGCACAACCCUGCGUGUAACUGCAUUCCAACCACUAAUAAAGUGCCUAUUGUACAGGUC